AUGCCGCAGCAGGACCGCCCGUCCGCUGCCGCAGGUGUUGCGCCUAUCCCCGUCAUCGACCUCGGCCGCCUUUCCAGGCCUGACACCGAUGGUGGUGCCGUCGAGGAGGCAGCGAAACUCCGGUGGGCGCUCGAGACCUGGGGCUUCUUCAUGAUUACUAACCAUGGUAUCGAGGCCUCUCUUAUGGAUGCGAUGAUGAAUGCAUCCAAGGAGUUCUUCGGGCAGCCUAUUGAAGAGAAGCAAAAAUACAACAACAUAAUUGAUGGCAAGCGUUUUCGUCUUGAAGGGUACAGAAGUGAGCUGCUGCAAUCUGAAGGCCAGACCCUCGAUUGGUCUUGCCGUUUAUCUCUGCAAGUAGAACCGGAAGAGGAGAGAAGUUUCCACCUUUGGCCCAAGUAUCCCAAAUCUUUGAGGCAAGUAAUCUGGGAUGUGCUACUUCACUACGCGUCAAGAACCAAGAUAAUAAAAGAUUGUAUCAUGCGAACCCUGGCAAAUCUUCUAGAGCUCGAUGAGGAUUUCUUCAUCAAUAGGACCACAACCAGGGCCCGAGCUUUAGCUAGGCUAGGCUACUACCCUCCAUGUCCGAGGCCUGACCUUGUUUUGGGCUUCAAGCCUCACUAUGAUGGUGGUGCCCUUUCAAUCCUUUUCCUCGAAGAGAACGUCGGUGGCUUGUAA
rnacentral:rRNA from 1 species